rnacentral:lncRNA from 1 species
CUGUGCUGAGAGCUCUCAGUAUUAGUCUGGAGCUUCCUGCACCCUGCAUCCUUCCUGCCUGGCAUGCCAGCACUGGAUACAUUGUAACCCUCCACCCCCCCAUCCUUCCAUGGUAGCUCCCCUGGAUACAUUGUAAUAGUACCUCCAUGUGAUUGGAUUCACUGGAAGAGCUCACCAGGUGGGGGGUCCACAACAGGACCACUUUCAAAGUGUUCAUUGCUGGCUGUGACUUUGCUGAUCUGCACCUCCUGAGCCCCUGCAGGGGGAGGGACCCUGUGACUUUGGAUUUAAGGGACAGGAAGAUAGCCCUGGGCUCCUGGAAACUUGCUGGGUUCCUGCAGUGUGGAUGGUGAGUCUCCAAUCUAUAGCACUGCUAGCUGAGCAGGUAUCUAGUGACAGCUCACACAGCAUGCUGGGACAGCUUGACACCCAGCAACUGCAUUCACUGGCUGAGGGUAAUGGGAGAUGGAGUUCUGAACCUCACUGUGUGCCAAGCUGAUCCAGCAGUGCCAGACAGGUCUGUAAUCAUUAGAUGCACUCUGACCCUAUUGCAGCAUCUUAUCACUGCUCUGUUUAUCACCCUGUUUAACCCCUUUACCCUUGGAUCUGUCCUGGUAAUGUCAGCAUUGAGCAGCUUGGAUACAAUGGAUAAAUAAUAUUAAUAAUAAUAAUAUAUGGGGAGGGAUACAGGGAGAUGAAGCUGGGUUGGGAUGUACAGACCUCUAGCUUUGUAUUAUAUGCUAAUAUCAUCAAUAUCAUGCUCCUUCUUAAAUGAAACCCUUAGUAAUUCUAAUCAACCUCUGUCAUCAAAGUGUCUGUUUCUCUGUCUAAUCCCUUUCUCCUUCUAAUACACAGAUAGUGAUCCCAUUUCUCCUUAUUAUGUGGGUGGUGGUGGUGGUUUUGAAGGGUGUGUUUGUGGGUACUUGUCUUGCAUUUAGAGUGUAGGAGUUUCUUAUUCCACUGAAUUGCUUUUGUUCUUGCUCCAGAUGAAUAAUACCCUGUUCACAAUUUGAACUGACCAUGCUGCCAUAUAUGUGUGUGGUUGAAUGAAGUACAGUGUGUUUUUUAGUGUACUGUAAUGUUUUCUGACUGUGUGAAAAUACUUAUUAUAGCUUAUUCACCAAACCGUGAAUUAUAAACAUGAAUUUUGGCCACAACAUCAAAAUUGGAAAAACAGCCGUGUUGGAGAAAUCUACCCUUUUUGUACCCAUUCUGGGUUUAUUGAAUAAACUGCUUGGUCUCGUAAUGAUACAGUGACUUGUAAUGAAUUGAAAAUGAACUCCCCACUGUGCAGUAAAACUAGCUAUUUUUGGUCAAUAUCUGACAGUCACCUUGCUAUUAAAUUGUCAAUUCAUUGUUUAGCAAUCAAAUAAAAAAUGCCAGCCCUUAUUGAAAUGCUUUUAUUCUAAUAUUAUAUUUUAUUUCUAUUAUUGCAUUAUUUAUUUAGAUGUUUUUGAAGAGAAGGCUGAUUGCUAAUAACAUCAUGAUACAAUAUAUUUACUCUUUAAAACAAGGCUUGCGCUGUUAUUUACUGUACGGAUUUAACCCUUCACUAUCCUGCCGUAGUGUCUAUCUAAGGGGUUAAGGCGGGAGGCUAGCGGUUUGUCUGGCUCACAAAUAUUAUGCGAUAAUCCCUAUUUUAUUUCUCAAUAGAAACCUCAUCUCUUAGUGUAGCUCCAGUAACUUGCAAUUUGAUUUUCAAAAAAUAUUUCUGCCUGUGUUCCUAGUAGAAGCCUCAGGAAUAUUUGUGAUCCGCUUUAAGUUGAUUUGUUUCCAGUCCUUUAAAUCCACGUGCGCUUUGGGAUUAUCUGCUGCUUCAAGUGGAGCUGUCAGAGAGAAUAUAAGGUAAAGAGAACAUUACAGUGAAGAUAGCUCUGACCGUAUCUGAGUGCUGUGCCCUUAAAUCUGUUAGCCCAUCAUAUAACUAGUGGUCCUACAGUUGGCGUCUAGCCCUCUGCCACUGUUGGCCACAUAGCCGCUUUAAUCAAGUACCAUUCCACUCGCUGGGUGAUCUAAUUACACGUUUGUAUAUUCUCUGAUGAUAAAGAUACUCUAAGGAACUAGUAUUUCUAAGCCUUGGAUGCCCACGAUAUCGGGAAAUUUUGGCCUUGAAUUGUCCGUACUCUGGAUUCAUGAUUUGGUGAAUACAAGUCUAGAAAUAUAUAUUUGAAACUAAAUCUGAAUGGCAAAAUGUAUAAAAAUAGAUGGACUAAAUAGUAAUUAAUUAUUUUCCCCCCAAAUUGACUAUUUUCAUUCAGAUUCCAUUUACACAUGCUUUGGAGUUUAGUCGCGAUCACUGCUUGAUGUGAAAACCUAAUGAAAUAAUUUUAAGCUGAAAGAUUGAUGCUAUGUAUGUGCAUAUGUUGGAGAUGUCUUGCUUAUUUUUGGCUAAAACCUCACUCUUCUCAAACAAUUCACUUUUCCGUAAAUAAACCACUUUUCAUUUUUGCUGCCUAUAUAUAGAUCCAAAUAUGAAUGAAUUAAUCACGGAAAGGAUCCCUCAGGCAGGGUUUGGCAGCAUGUGAAUACUGGAAGGUAGUUCUCGCCAGUCCUCUUCUGCCCCUGUGAAACUCAAAGCAGAAUAAGGGAAAAACUGGCUUACAUUCAGACUGUUAUUGCCAUUCCUGUCUGUCAAAAGUGUCUUUUUAACAAUUUUUUUUUUAUUAGGGCAGUGCAUGUUUUAUUGAUUAAUAUUUAAUGUCAAUCCUUAUCUGUUGUGAAUGGGAUAAAAUACAGCCCAACACCAGGUAACACUGUGAUCCUACACAAAAUGAAUAAGGGAGUCUAGCAAGUGUAUAGAUGUUGCCCAUCUCAUAAUGAAAUGGCAUGAAUGUUCAAGAUCUGACACCUCCAUAUCCUCAGCUGUUAUAGCUACAAAAACUAAUACAAAAUUGUGACAUCACAUGUAAAUUUAAAUGAUUUCAAGAAUCGAAAUAAAUCUUCGUGCUCCGGCUGGUUGGCACACUGACACAAAGACCGUAUUGUGCUUUGGGAGGCAUUAUUAAUUUGGCACAGGAACAGGGCAAACAUUGGGUUAAGCAACCUCUUACAAAGAAAAUUUAUAAUACUAAGAUCACAUAUUGCGUAAUCCAAACAGGCUUUAUAACUCGAUCGCUGUAUGUUUACUUGGUUCCCAACCAAUUCCUCUGUGGGACAUUUCCUCGUUUCUAUUGACAUGACCGUCAACAUUCAUCGUACAUAAGGAGGCAAGGGGGAGUAACAGAAAGGUAUUUCUUGGGAAGAUUCCUUCGGUAUCAAUGGGCAUUGGUCCACUUCUAGAACGCUUCCUUAUUGGUUGUAAAUCUCUCCUGGAGUUCUUUAUUGGAAUCUACUGAGUCAGCUGGAAGACCAGUCCCCAUAGAGAAUGCUCGUCCUGUAAAAUGUGUAGAGUUGUACAUUGUAUCUGCACAGACGGUGUGUCAUGGGCCAUAGCACAUCCUUAAUAUUUUAAAACAAAAAAUAGUGGAGUGUGUAUAAAACCGUAAUAAUCAUAUCACCUAAACACAACACUGUGACUGGAUACAGAAGUCAUUCAAAAGUUGACCCUAAUUUUCCUUAUACGUAGAUUCAAAUAGACAUAGCUCUGUGUUUAAAAAGCAAUAUAUAACAAACAGUGUGACACUGGUUAUAAUAACUGAAAUUGUGAUAAUUGUGCUGAUAUCCGACUCACAGAGACUAAUAAAUGCCGGCUCUGGGGUGUAGUGCUGUAGGUGUCGUUAAUACUGAAUGAUGGCUACACUAUAUUACCUGCGGGGAACCCCGUGUAUGCCUUUUGGCUUCAAACUGAUUAUUGUGGAGAAGCUAAUCUAUCUGCUUUAUCUAAUGAUGUGAAGAGGAGCGCUGACCCCACUCCCACAUCCAGUGUUUUUACUCUUUUAAACUCAAGAAAUCCAAUGCGGUAUUUGGAACAUUGUGUCUGUUCUUGCAUUGGUGAAUUUGAUUUUACUACAUACCAUUUGCAGAUUGCCUGUUUUCAUGUAGGGAAUUCCAAUAACCGUAUGUGUCUAUAUUAGACAGGAGGCUGGUGGAAUGCCCCUAUAGUGCCUACUGCCUGUGACAGAGAGAUUUGGGUUCCUCCUAUAUAGACACUUUAUUAUUAAUAAUAAUAUAAUAUAUUAUUGGGUAUUUAUAAAGCACCAUCGCAGUCUGUGGGUACAAUUGGUACCAGUUAAAAGACAAAGUUAAAAAUGGUCCAAAAUGUAGCUGCAGUAAGAAUUCGAAGGUUAUGUUUAAAACGAACGGACAAGCUUUCAAAUGAUUAAAAGAUUUUGGUAAAUGUGUAAUUUGCCUAGCUAUGUUCCUAUUGGUCUAAACCCUAUUCUAUACAUAACCCUCAAUUGUUCAAAGGCUAUGAUUUGUGUGAUUGUACCUUCUACGUACUGACAUUUCACAUGUAUUUUCCAUUGUGAAUGUCUGCACUUGAUUUUGGCAAUCCCUAUGGUUACGGAAUCUGUGUGCCCCUUAUCUGUGGAUUGUACGUCUGGUUUUCUAAACCCGUUGAAUCUUGGAUCUGUAUUAAUUACCACCUGUACAGUUCACAACAAGGGAACUCUUGUAAUUAAAGAUAAUUGGGAGUAUUGCACAGAGGUGACGUGGCUAGUUUUGCAAGUAAAGUUAUUUAAUUUACAAAGUUCUAUUUCCUUUUAUUGUAAUUACACCAAGGAUCGCUUUCACAACUUUUGGGGAACAUUUCUCCCACUUCAGAUGUGCUAAUAAUGGUCUGAGUUACACUUUUACAAGUUUGUCAUUUGUAGUUUCUUCAUAAGUGACCCAGAUGAAUCCAAAUUCAAUGUGAAUUGCUGUAUUAAAAACAUUUUCUCCCUCCAUCUUAUUAACAAUAAAACAACUUUUUAAUCCCUUCUUGAAUUCGCACUGACUAUACUUUCUGUCAUUACAGAGUGUGCAUUGCAUGUUUUUGUUUUAAGUCAGAUUCCUAAAUCUCUAUCCUAGAUAAUCAUUGCAAGGAAUAAAGACUAAUAAUAUAAAAUAUACCAUAUAAUUUUCCCCUUUACUAAUUGAAAUGUAAGAAAAUGAAUAGUGGAAUUUAAAAAUUGUACCUUCCCAAAAAUCAUGUGGCUUGCUCGUGUCUGCAGCCACCCCUCGGAUGUCCAGCUGUACUUUCUGUGCCCACAUUGAGCCGCCUCGCUAACUGUGUUGUAUAAAUAGGACAGGUGUCUACAUGCUCUAGACCAGAGUAACAAAUUAUGCAAAAGAAUGCAGUCAAAGUUUCACAGGGGCGCUUGGGGGGGAAAAAAAAUCUAAAACAAACAAAAAACAAACCUGUUUUAUUUGCUGGAUUCUGCACUGUUUAGUGGUCCUUGUGGGUUGUUUUUAUUACACCUUUAAGCAGUAACCAAGACUAAACAUGUAGAGACAGUCUCUGUUCUGGGUUAAACAUCUCUGGAUUGCUUGUGCUGUCAUGUAGUUAGUUCUAAUGUGUCUCCGGAUUGCUGCGUAGUUGUGGAAGCUAAUAGGUAAUGUUGGUAAUCUGCACAUUUUAUGAUUUAUUAUAUAUAUAUAUAUAUAUAUAUAUAUAUAUAUAUAUAUAUAAUAUUGUUUGUUGUUUUUUUAAAAAAUUUUUUUUAUAUUGGAGGCUGUUUGAUGGGAGACACACACGCAAUAUUAAAUAUUGCCAUUACAGAACACAAUGUGUUCUGUGUCAGUCACGCUAAUGUAAGACACAAGGAGCAGUGCAAUGUCCGGUGGAGGGGAAGUGCGUUUUAUUAUUGUUACAUAUGUAAGUGGCAAUUAUGAAGAUGAUAGGAAGCCUAUAAUUACGUAUACAUUGAUUCUUGCAAUUAUUGAUGGUCUGCCGUUAUUUCUACAGACUACUGCGAUAUCAGAUUGUCGACUUCGAUAUUAUGCAACCUUUUAGAAUACAUAGAUCGGUCUGUGUUCUUGGUUACAGGUAAACAUUCAACAUUGAAAAUGAAAAUACUGUAGUGAAAAAGGAUUAAACCAGAAAAAAUAUAAAAUAAUUUACACACGGGCCCCAUUUUCAUUGGAUUUUACCGUAGGCAUAAAUAAGGGUCUGUGGCGGGCUUGGGAAGCUGUAUCUUGAACAAUUGAAAUAAUUUGAGGUUGGCUGAGGUUUAUGUGAGCUGUUACUUGUGUUAAAAGGUGUAGAUGACGCAGAGAGGAGCUAGACAGGCAAUGGGAGUGCAAACCAGCAGCUAUGUAGCUUGUCUUAAAGGACCACUUCAGCUCAAUGAAGUGGUCUGGGUGCCUUCAGAUGUAAAUCUAUGCGAAAAUCGCAUUCAGCAUGCAGAACAUCCAUAGGAAAGCAUUGAGAAAUGCUUUCCUAUGGGGGUUUUUAAUGCGCGCGCGACUCUGGCUGCGCAUUCCACUCCCCUCGGGAGCUAACGUCGGAGUGGGAGGAGAGGUCACCGGUGCUGAAUUAAAGUAAGUAGCUGAAGGAGUUUCAACCCCUUCAGCCCAGCGGGAGGGAGGCCCUGAGGGUGGGGGGUACCUAAGGGUUAUAUAGUGGCAAUGGACCAGGCCAUUAUUUUCACUAAAGUGUAAAUUGUCAGAAAUUCUAAGUGAAUUUUCCAAAUCCUCUUUAUUGCAAGUUAAGGAAUUUAGCUUAAAAUAUUUAAAUUUCAAAUUUAAAGGACCACUAUAGUGCUAGGAAAACAUACUCGCCCCCACUCUCAGGGCCCCCCUCCCGCCGGGUUAUAGGGUGAGGAAGGGGUUAAAUUUACCUCUUUCUCCAGUGUCGAGCGGGGGACUCUCCUCCUCCUCGGCUGAAUGUGCAUGUGCGGCACGAGCCAUGCGCGUACGCAUUCAGCCAGUCUCAUAGGAAAGCAUUCUCAAUGCUUUCCUAUGGAUGCUGGCAUCUUCUCACUGUGAAAAUCACAUUGAGAAGCACGGAAGUGCCUCUAGCGACUGUCAAUGAGACAGCCACUAGAGGCUGGAUUAACCCAUAGGUAAACAUAGCAGCUUCUCUGAAACUGCUAUGUUUAUAGAAAAAAGGUUAAUCCUAGCUGGACCUGCCACCCAGAGCACUUCAUUAAGCUGAAGUGGUCCGGGUGCCUAUAGUGGUCCUUUAAGGCCAAAAUAUCGUAAGUGCCUCCACUGAGGCACUACAUACAGGGCCCCCAUCAGGGCGUGCAGGCAAUCAGUUUUGUUAUUGCUGACUUUUCUAUUUGAUUGACAUCCUGCUCAUCAAUCCAGGGCUCUCGGAUUGUUUGGUGAUUGUUUGCAGUUAUCCAGCACCAUGCAAGAUACCGAUUGUCCAUUAGGCCUUGACAAGAGGUUUCUACUGCAGCGAUAUCUUCUUCACCAUGACUGUGAUAGGGGCCCAGAAAUCUGGCUACUGUAUUCUACCGCUUACUUUCAGGGGAUGCUCGUAAUAUACACCGAAAAGAAGACCUACUUAAGAUCUUUGCUAGGUCACUAAUCUAUGUUCAGGAAGUUUUCCCCAAACUGAUUGUUUUAGACCAAACCAAGUGUUUGCUUCAAUAUCUGCCCCUGUUCAGAUUGUUUAAAAUAAGGUGUGUGCACGCUGAAGUAAAUCACACUGACAACGAGUUUCAGAUUAAUGAAAAACUUCGGAAUGUUUACUUAGAGGGGCGACGAGCCUCUUAUAAAGCACAAAAUACAUAUGCAAAACAUGAGAACAUGAAAAGUACAUUUUUAAUUGGUCAGGUGUUAAGUGUCUUAUCUAAUGAACUUCCUCCAAAGUGUGAUGUCACCAUCAUCUCGGGAUUUUACUCCGGAUGGAGACGCCAUCUUGUUACACGAGGUGUUUCGGUCGAUGGGAGGGGGGUGCUCUAGCAGCCUUUUUGAGUAAAUGAUGAGCACAGGUGUACACAGUAAAUAGACAUUUUACCUACAUUAAUUUCUAUCCAUAACAAGAUUCGCGGGAUUUCGUGCGCUAGAGAAUUGGUCUGUGUCUGUGGGAAUUCCAUGAACGAAGACCUGCUUUCUUGCUAGUGCCUCCUUACUUACCUGCAAACUCGCUAUACGAUCAUGUCAUAAGAACGGAAUCUGGUUUGUAAGUGAGGAGUGUGUGUGUGUGUGUGUGUGUGUGUAUAUAUAUCCCCUGAAAAUAAUCCCUAAUGUGUUCUUUGAAGCAAGGAUUACAAUAAGAUCUACAAUUAGAGCUACAUUCUAAUUAAACAUUAAUGCAUUUCAUGUGAUCUAGAUUGGGGCUGGAGUCUCUUCCCCUGCGUGGUGUGUGUGUGUGUGUGUGUGUGUGUGUAUGUAUAUAUAUAUAUAUAUAUAUAUAUAUAUAUAUAUAUAUAUAUAUAUAUAUAUAUAUAUAUAUAUAUAUAUAUAAAUUUAUUUUAAAUAGGAGCUGCAGUCUCCCCUCCAGAUCGCCUACUUCCUGCGCAUGUCUGAUGUAGUGAUAGGAAGUCCGAAACAUUCAGAUGAAUCGGUUAAUUUCGGACGGUUUGUUCAAAUGAACCGGAUCCUGAACCAAUUGGUCAGUUCACUUACCUGACGCUCAGGUCGGGGCUGACUGAUUCGAGUAUAUCACAGAGUUGAACAGCAGUAGGAAUCCCAAGUCUAUCCACUAAAGGGUGAAUUGCAGGAGAAUUUCAAAAUCUAGGUUAAAAUAACCAAACUGUAAUAAUUCUCCAAUAUAACUCAAACUUCAAAAUCCACUAUUUUGGUCUAGAUUUUACAAUUCACAUGCAAUUCAUCCAUUACUGAACAGUCCUGUCAGGCAUAGUAAUGUACAGUGUGUGAGUAUAUCACAGAGCUCCACACUGCACAGCUAUUAAACUCACAGUAAUAUACAGUGUGAAUCACAGAGCUCCACACUGCACAGCUCCUCACAGUAAUAUACAAUGUGUGUAUCACAGAGCUCCACACUGCACAGCUAUUAAACUCACAAUAAUAUACAGUGUGAAUCACAGAGCUCCACACUGCACAGCUCCUCACAGUAAUAUACAGUGUGUGUAUCACAGAGCUCCACACUGCACAGUAAGGGGUGGAGUGAAUAAGUGAAUCACGUUAUCAAAAGGUUAAUUCUUUGGGUGCUGACAGUUAGAGGAAGUUUAGCAAGAGUCCUUAGGGUUAAUCUAUGAUGAGAAGUAAUUAUGAUAAAGGUUCAUUAGAGGUGUAUUUAGCGAUGAUGGUGUCCAAAGGGAAUCCAAAUAUCUGGGACAGUGACGGUUAAUCCUGUAUUUAGUUAUAGAGAGUAGGGGUCAGGGGGCUGGGAUUAAAAUAUAUGGUGUGUGUAUUAAAUACGACAUUUUAAUGUAAAAUAACAUUGAUUUACAAAUCUUAUUGAGGAGAAGGCAAUCAGAUCACAAAGGGUUAAACCAUCAAUCUAAAAAAUGAUCUCCUUGGAUCAUUAAGUAUAAAAAAAACAAAAAAACAAUUCAACCCUUACCACAACUGCAACCUGAUUAUUGAUUGUAAAGUUCUACUGACGACUUGAGAACUGCUUCUGAUCAGAUCUGUGAAUCCAUUUACUAAAAAAGGGAACUGUUUCAAACUAAUCAGUUCACUCCAAACUGAUUCACCAAGUUCAAAUCAAUUAAUGGGUCACAAACUGGACGUCCCUGGUCUCAUGAUCCAGGUAGAAGCUGCCGUCUCCCCCUUUAGACUGCUUCUUCCUAUUCAUGUCAUAUGAUACGUGUUCAUAUCUAUCUCAAGGUGAAUAUACUGAAUUUCUGCCAUAAUGAGAUAUUGAAUAUUUGACAAAUGGUGAUCUAUUCGUGCAGAAAAUACGUGUUUUGGAUUUUUUACUUCUCUCGUUUCGACAAUUUGUAAUCGCAGCCCCCUCUCAGGAAGAACCGAUGAAGCUGGCUUCCUGUAAUCUCCAGUAAAACCACUCGCAUUUCCCAUUCUCAUUGUGUUCUUCUCAGAACCUGCAACUCGUUAUCUGUCAGUUGAUUGUCGGCAAUUCUAACCAUUCUGUGUCCUGUGUUUAAAGCAACACUGUCACAUCGUAUUUACCUUCCUACUCGCUUUCUCUCCCUAUUUCCUACCCUGUCUUUCAUUUUUAAACAAUUUCUAACUAAAAACACAAGACAAAUUAGGGACUACAUUGUCGUAUGUAUUUUUCUUAUGCUUCACCUUCUUAGACAUCGGGCGAAGCUACAGUGUCAAACCCGACAGUCGUCACCAGCCUAGAAAAUGUUUAUUUUUUUUGGGGGGGUCGUUUAGAUGGCUAGAAAGCCAUUAGAGAUGAAUCCAGGGUGAUAAGGCAUUGGGGGUCUAUAACUUUAAAGCAUCGUGUUUACUGGUAAGAAUCCACAAUUAUUAGUAGAACAUUAUGUAUAAAGUUGUCUUACAGAAUUAUUUACCAAUGUGAUAAUUUAAAGUGAACCUGUUGUGUAAAAAAAUAACUUGCCUUAAAUACACUGAAUAAUACGAUAUUGCAAAGAUACCUGAUAUAUUAAAUGUGAAAUAUCGAGACGCCAGCGUGUCUGCGCCAUUUGACGCCUUGAAUUCUCACUUUAGUGAAAAAAAAACUGUAAAUAUUGCUUAUGUGUUUUUUUUUUUUUUUGUAUUGUUUUUUUCUUUCAACAUUGGGAGUUAUGAGAUCAAAACAAAUGAAUGGCUGAGCCGGAGCAGUCAGCGACACAUAUUGAACUACCGUAUUUAAUCUAAUCUAAUACGCCAUCGAAUCUAAUGCACACCUUAAUUUUUUAAACCUGGAAGUUGAAAAAUGUUUUUGCUGGUGAAUGUAAUGCACAUUUAUACAAGAAGAUAUUCCUAUACAACAUUGUGCUACAAUGAAAAUGUUUAUUGCCGUAUACCAUCGUAACAUUGAGGGUUUUUCAAUUUUAGUCUUGCAUGUUAAGUCUAUUCUUUCUUAAGCCCCCUUUCAGGAAUGGAAUUUGUUUGUUUAAAUUGACCAGUUUUAGGUCGCCUGUGUAAAAAUUCGAAUUUUACACCAAAUGUAAUGCACCAUUGAAUCUAAUUUGCAAAUUUUGGUAAACAUAAUUUUCCAAAAAAAGUGCGUAUUGGAUUCGAGUAAAUUUUAUUUAUUUAAUUUAUUUUACAUCUGGUAAAAUGCUCAAAUACUGGUCUGUCACCCCUGAUCUGGCACUGCUGGAUGGGAUGUAUAAUCCGCUUUUUAUUCUUAGAUUGUGACACUCACCUUUUUCAUUCAGAGAAUCCAGAUCAAACAUGUUCCUCUAUCAUAUCUGUUUUACUUAUUCGUUAUCAACGACCAGAAUUAGAUGAUUUUCUAUGCCAGUGACCUGGUAACAAUAACCGUUUCUAGAGGUAGUAUUAUAUAUAAAAGCGACACUAAUUGCAAGUUGCGCUACAUUCUCACAGCAAAGGACUUAAAUUUAGACGUUUAAUAGAGUUAAGCAGUUAAUGUGUUCUGGCUGAGUCAGUCAAUACUCUCCAGGAGUACGGACUUAGAUGGAUUUCUAGUAAAAAUAGAAAAAGUAGAAUUAAUGAAGUUAUUAGCUAUUGGGCUCAAUGUAUGAUCCAGAGUAAUAAAAAGAUACUUCCUGGAUUCGUCAUUUACUGCUAAACUGGAAUUGUGGAAAACUUGCAAGGGGGAAUGCAAGUUUAAGUCCAGAAAAUUGCUGAAAAUAGCCCAAAUAUGCAUUCGCUUUUUAAUUUCCAAACAGUUCCUGUUUUUCUAGAUAACCCUGUCUGUGCUUUUGUUUUUUUACUUCUGGACCGCAAAUCUUAAUGGAUCUAUCUUUUUAUUUUUUUUUAUUUUUAUUCAAGUUCAUUAACUAAAUUGCUAUAAUCUUUCAUUUCUUCAGUGUUAAGCAGUGUAAAACAGAGACAAACUGAGUUUGUUUACGUUGGGGAACGAGGCGCCUACCAGAGAAUAAUUGCUAUAUACAAGGUCAAUUUCCAUAGUAAAGGUCGCUUACUCAGACAUUUACAGGAGAUGACAUGGGGCAGUCUAUUAAAGUUGGAGGAAAGGAGAUCUCUGCAUCGGAAAGUUUUUUUUCUUAUUAUUUAAUAAUACAGUAAAGACAGGAAUUUACUGCAGAAUGAAGUGGUGUUAGCAGAUUCCAUUCAUGCUUUUAACCCCUUAAGGACACAUGACAUGUGUGACAUGUCAUGAUUCCCUUUUAUUCCAGGAGUUUGGUCCUUAAGGGGUUAAAGAGAAAAUUUAACUCAAAAAAGCAAUUUUUUUGCUUUGAUAAACUAAUAGGGGUAAAAAAAAAAAAAAAAGUCCUAUCACAUAGCAAAAAGAAAAGGGCAAAAGCGUUAAAUGGACAAAUGAAAGUACCCUCUCUGUGCAAGACCAACCAGGGUUCUCAAACAGUUCCAUUCUGUAAAUAUUUGUGUAGUUAUAAAAUGUAGCAAUGACUCGCAAAUGAUUAAUUAUUUCACAUUUUGUUUCGUCUAUUUUUUUUUCCACUUUAUUUUCAAAUAUCUCAUACUUUUACUCCAUUCCAAUAAUAAGGCUAAAGGUCUGUAGAAGGAAAUAAUCAAAUAUCUUACAGUAUAUCUAAUUGGUAAGUGGUAAUUUAUUUAUUUUUUUUGUGUUUUUUUUUUUUUUUUUAUACAUAUGCAUUUUUUUUUUUGGCUUUCCAUGUUUAAUACUAAUUGAACCCACAUGAUGUAUUGUCCCCAAAGUGCAAUUCCUUAUUUCACUGCUUCCAAAACAAAAAUGUUGUUCUAACUUUCCAGCUGCACAGGCAGCCAACGUGUUACUUCCAGUAAGUGGAAGAUUAUGUGUUAUAAUAUUCUCUUAAGCCAGGACAGGCCUAGCAUGUUUAAAGAGACAGAGCUGGGAGUUUGCUAGACUUCUUUGAGCAAAUACAUAACAAUUGUACCGGUUUCAGGACAUGAUCUUGAAAUCACUAACCUAUAAAGAAUGUGGCAAAGCAGGAGGAACAAUCUGUAAAGUAAAUUGGAUCCGAUUCUGGAGACCUUCUCAACAGACCUUGAAUCAGCAAAUUAUAGGACUAGUGGUGCUUUUGCUAAGCAUGCAAGGCUGCUGUACCCAAACAUGCUGUGGAGAACUGACGACUUGCCUGGAGUUGGCCUAUCAGUGGUCCCAGAGGGGCUACUUCAGAUAUCUGCUAGUGCCAACCGACGUUCACGUGGUGAUUGCAGAAGAACUCUUCCUCCAUUCUAGACGGCGAUAGGCUAGAGAAAACACAAAAGAUGCACUACCAGAAUUGUUCAAGAUCUGCAUAAUAACCUAUCCAGAGAGAAUGGAAGUUCUAGAUUGAAGCAGAGAAGGGAUGGGGGCUUGAUAGAAAGUUUCAAAUAUUGCUCUGGUUUUACCAGAAUACAAUUCCCAUUAAAAUGACAAUAUCUAGAGAAAUCAGACCGAGCCUGAUGUUGAAGAGGAAUUUCAAUGGGAACAUCAAGGGUUGUAGAUGCAUUUGUGCAUUUAUUCCAAUGCAUCUACAACCCUUAAUGUCUGUCCGCCCCCCCCCCCCUUUUUUUUUCUUCUUCUUCUUUUAUUCUUCAAUUAUUUUUUUUCUUGUGAUAUCCUGAUUAUUAGGAAUUUAAUAACUCUAUGAUUAUUUUUGCCUACAGCUAGUGGUUCCCAAACCAAUUGUCAAGGCACCCCUACCAGUCCAGGAUUUAGUGAUUACCCAGUUGUAUCUAAGGUGUUUAUAGAGAGAAAAAAAUUGCAAGGAAAGGUUCAGAUAAGUAAAACCUACCUACCCCUGCGUCCCUCGGCUACAAGCUGACAGUGCCCCUUUAAAUAUGGUUAAGCGAUCCAUUUAAAAAAUUACAUCUUUUUGUAUUUAGAUUUAUUUUUCUUUCCUUCUCUGUAUCAAUUGAUAAUUUAGUGCAUUAUGCUGAACAAUGUACUUAGAGACUACAAAAUAAGUUUAAAUACUAAACCGUAAUUUGUACUAAAUUAAAAUUAAAAUUUAGACCAUUCUAAGCCAUUUGACAAUGAAGCUUCUCUGGAGUCUUUUUUAAAACUUUGCCAUUUUUGUCCAAAUAAAGUUCAUUUAUUAAUUUUUAGUUUUAUUAGUGAAUAAAACCCAAUGAUUUAUCACACAUAUUAAAGGAGUACUAUAGGGUCAAGAACACAAACCUGUAUUCCUGACCGUAUAGGGUUAAAACCACCAUCUAGCCACACUGGUCCCCUCAUGCCUCCCUAAAUAUAGUAAAAUCUUACUUGUAUUCAAGUCUGAAGCUGCUUGCUUUGUCCCUGUUUCCUUUAGACCUGCCCACUGCCUGCUGACAUCAUCAGAAGUGGGUAGCCUGAUCCAAUCACAUGCAGACGGAGGAGACAUUGAAUGUUUGGAUGCAUUUUAGGCAGCCAUGACCCAGGAAGGAUCUCUAACAGCCAUCUGAGGAGUGGCCAGUGAAGUUAUCACUAGGCUGUAAUGUAAACACUGCAUUUUCUCUGAAAAGACAGUGUUUACAGCAAAAAGCCUGAAGUUAAUGAUUCUACUCACCAGAACAAAUUCAAUAAGCUGUAGUUGUUCUGGUGACUAUAGUGUCCCUUUAAGCAUAUGUUUAAGGCUGAGCCAUGUAUGAACAUGUCUCCGGUAGCUUGGAUAUCUAUUCAAUCUCAAGGUGUAGUGAUUUUGUAGAACACUUUGAGCCCAGGUCGAAAGAAUGCAGAGUUUCCCAGGUAGUCCAGGGAAAAAAAUAAAAAUAAAAAAUACACACCCUCACUUUCUUAUGUAAUCUACACUAUUAUAUAAGGACUCCCAUGAGAAAAGUAGCAGAAAGCCCAGAUAAUUAUCUAGUUCUGUAUGAAAUUAAACAUAUGGGGCUUGGCGGGCUGAUAUGAGGGUGUUCCUGUGAUGCAGUUUGUUCACUAGUGAAACUUGUGGCCGUGAAAGGAACAUAUCGUCCAAAUGUACUGCGCUACAGCCAGUCGUGCUCUAGUAUGGGUAAACACGUCCUGGAAAAGCCUUGUGCACGUGUGUUUGACACCAUGUUCACUAUGCUUUUUAGUGUUUCUUUUUCCUCACGUGUAGAAGUGAGACUCCAGAGGCGAUCCCUGUGAUAGUCUCAGGGUUCCUGAUUCAUGACUGUCCAGCUAGAUACAGAACUUUUAGCAAUCUUGUUACCUGAUUUUUAUAUCUGCUAAUUUUUUAUUUUUUUAUUUAUAUAUAUAUAUAUAUAUAUAUAUAUAUAUAUAUAUUUUUUUUUUUUGCAGCUUUUCACAUAAUCUAUAAACAAUAACCAUAAAUAAUAGGGGAAUGUUUGCAGAAACCAGCUUAUUAAAAUAGUUAAUUCAGAAAUUAAAGAGACUCUCCAGUGCCAGGAAAGCAAUCCAUUUUCCUGGCUCUGCAGGUCGCCUCUCCCUCCCAUCCCAGGUUGCUGAAGGGGUUAAAGCCCCUUCAGUGACUUACUUGUAUCCAGCGCCGAUGUCCCUCUGCGCUGGUUCAGGGUCCGCCCCCGCCGACGUCAUCCGGCGGGGGAGACCUAAUGCACAUGCGCGGCAAUGCCGCGGAUGCGCAUUAAACCUUCCCAAAUACUUUCAAUGCUUUCCUAUGGGGAUUUCAGCGACCCUGGAGGUCCUCACACAGCGUGAGGACAUCCAGCGACACUAUAGCACAGAAAAUCUGUGCUAUAAACCAGGAAGUACCCACUAGUGGCUGUCUAUGAAAACUGCAAUAUUUACAGCUGCAGGGUUAAGGGUAGUGGGAGUUGGCACCCAGACCACUCCAAUGGGCAGAAGUGGUCUGGGUGCCUGGAGUGUCCCUUUAAGUAGUCAACUGUAUUCGCAGAACUAAAGAAAAAUUUUAUAGCGUGUGGCCAGAAAACAAAGUGGAGAAGAGAAGGGAAAAAAGUAUAUAAAUUAACAAAUAAUACGGAUUUAUUAAUAAUCCACAGCACCCACCUUGACUCGCCAAAAGGCCUCAAAGUCAGGAAAUCACAUUGAGUGAAGGAGAACAUGUCUCAAAGUAGACCAAAUCCUCAAAUGAUCCGUUUUUAUUGUGCAUUGCGCCUGUGAUCCUUGGUAGUGCCAAAAAUUGGGGUGUGAAAAUGAAUUGUAAACUAAAAAAAAAUAAUAAAAAUUGUGCAACAAAUUCUGCAACUUUUGCAGUGAAAGGCUCAGAAUGGACAAGACGUAAUAAUGGCUAAGAAAAAUAAAACAACUAACAUUAUCAAAAUAUAAAUUUCUACAGCAUGAAUGUUAACACGGUCAGGGUUAUUUACUCAACAGAGCACUGUGGGAAUUUUUCUAGUAUGGCUAUGAAUUUGAAAUUUACUUUGAGUUCUAGACAAUGCUCCCUUUAUUGAAUAACUGUGUGGUUUUGUUUUCUUUCUUUUUAAUUUAUCUUAUUUUAUUUAAUAUUUUUAUUAUUAUUCAGAAAUGUAUUGUGCAGACGUACAAUAUAUAGAUGGGGGUAACCUAAUUACCUUGGAUGAGACAGAAAUGCCAGACUGAUGCAUUUGCAAACGCAGGAUGACUUUGACAGGCUGUUAACAUAAUGUUGAUUUAUUAUAAAUAAAUGUGUGCAGAAUAUUAUUAUUAUUAUUAUUUUUCUUUUCACUAUUGUAUUUUGAUAGCGACACUCCUGAAUAAUGAAUGACCAUGCUGGGUGCGCUUGGCACGUAGUGAUGGUGGAUAAGUUAAUGAUGUGAUAUGGGAACAAGCAAUAAAUUUUGAUAUUCACAAUCCACCCAGGGUUAUUCGCAAAAAUGCCAAUUGCCAGGAAUUGACCAUGGAAAUGCAAAUUUUACGGUCAAAUUCACUACCUGCAAAAUGGCUAGGGACUUACAGGAAACUGACCAGAGAACUGUGAAAUAAAAAAAAUAAAAAAAUGUCCAAAUCUGAAAAAUUCUCCUACAAUGCCAUUUAUCAUAGUUGGCUGUAUUAGCCUGGCAUUUGCAAUUAUAUUAAUAAAUCUUCACAGUUUAGUGAAUAAACCCCCUUUGUUUGUCUGUUUAGUGCAUGCUCUGAUUCCACGUCAUGAAAAGUCAGCGUCUAGCAGAGACCUCAGCCAUAGGUCUAAUACAGGUUGGGCCAAAAUUCAGAGUAGGAUUUGACAAGUAAAUAACUUAUUUAUUAAUAGUUACAUUUUCACAGGAAAUUUCACAAAGUAACAAAGAAGAAAAAUAGUGAAUUUUAAUUUAUUUAUUUUUAAACAAAAUUUCAGGUUCAUUAUUUUGACGCAAAGAGCUUACCACCGCCACGUCAAUGGUUUUAACAGAAUGGGGCUAGUACCAAUGCAGCCUG